rnacentral:rRNA from 1 species
CCUACGGGGGGCUGCAGUGGGGAAUUUUGGACAAUGGGCGCAAGCCUGAUCCAGCAAUGCCGCGUGCAGGACGAAGGCCUUCGGGUUGUAAACUGCUUUUGUACGGAACGAAAAGCUCUUCUCUAAUACAGAGGGGUGAUGACGGUACCGUAAGAAUAAGCACCGGCUAACUACGUGCCAGCAGCCGCGGUAAUACGUAGGGUGCGAGCGUUAAUCGGAAUUACUGGGCGUAAAGCGUGCGCAGGCGGUUAUGCAAGACAGAGGUGAAAUCCCCG